GGGUGGGACUGUCUGCGGUGUCCGCGGCGGGCGUCCAGCCUGGGAGGGGCUGGUUCAACCUGUGGCUCCUUCCAGGGUCAGCAGCGCGUGGUGAAUCGUUUCUGCAGGCUGGAGUGCAAUGGCGCGAUCUCGGCUCACCGCAACCUCUGCCUUCCGGGUUCAAGCAAUUCUCCUGCCUCGGCCUCCCGAGUAGCUGGGAUUACAGGCAUGUGCCACCACUCCUGGCUAAUUUUGUAUUUUUAGUAGAGACGGGGUUUUUCCAUGUUGGUCAGGCUGGUUUCGAAUUCCCUAUUUCAGAUGAUCCGCCUGCAUCGGCCUCCCAAAGUGCUGGGAUGACAGGCGUGAGCCACCGCUCCCAGACUGUUUUUUGUUUUUUUUGAGACAGUCUCACUCUGUCGCCCAAGCUGGAGCACAAUGGCGCGAUCUCGGCUCAUUGCAACCAACCUCCGCCUCCUGGGUUCAAGUGAUUCUCCCGCCUCAGCCUCCCGCCUAGCUGAGAUUACAGGGGCACAUCACCAUGCCUCGCUAAUUCACCAUGUUGGCCAGGCUGGUCUCGAACUCCUGACCUCAGGUGACUGCCCACCUAAGCCUCCCAAAGUGCUGGGAUUACAGGCAUGAGCCACCACGCCCGGCUGCAAUAAGCUUUUAAUGGGUUGAUAAACUGCUGAUAAAUAGUGCCUGGUUCAUAGUGUGUGUUUGCUGUUGCGGUUAUUACAGGCUGCCCCCAGAGCUUUCCCUCACCUUGCUUGGACAUUAUGUCUUUCAGCUGGUCGUUUUGACCACAACCAUCACCACCUCCCAAAUAUAAAUAUUGUUUUAUUAUCUUGUCUUUUGGUAAAAGGAAUUUGAGAAGAAAACAAAAUCAAUCAAUUAAUCUUUUGUCUUUAAGAUCUACCACUCCCCUGGGUAAUUGGUAUGGUACAGAAGUUCAUUACUCAAAAGCAUACUUGCCAUUGAGGGAAGACAGAGACCCUCUCAGAUUGUUUUAUACUCAGUACCUGUUUUAAGAAAAAAAAAAAGGAAGUGAAAUCAAAGACAGGCAGUCCCGCGCCAGGCCCAAAACCAGGCCUGGGCCUGCCUGGCCUAAACCCAGUACUUAAAAAUCAACUCAUAACCUAGAAACCGAUGUUAUUCAUAGAUUCCAGACAUUGUAUAGAAGAACAUUGUGAAACUCCCUGCCCUGUUCUGUUUCUGACCACCGGUGCAUGCAGCCCGUCACGUACCCCUUGCUUGCUCAAAUCAAUCACGACCCUUUCAUGUGAAAUCUUUAGUGUUGUGAACCCUUAAAAGGGACAGAAAUUGUGCACUCAGGGAGCUCAGAUUUUAAGGCAGUGGCUUGCCAAUUCUCCCACCUAAAUAAAGCCCUUCCUUCUAC